rnacentral:misc_RNA from 1 species
UACGUAGGGUGCAAGCGUUGUCCGGACUUAUGAGGCGUAAAGAGAACGUAGGCGUUUUGUUAAGUCUGUUCUUAAAGACCAGGGCUCAACCCUGGGAAUGGAAUGGAAACUGGCAGACUCGAGGACGUCAGAGUAAGGUGGAAUUCCCAGUGUAGCGGUGAAAUGCGUAGAUAUUGGGAGGAACACCAGUGGCGAAAGCGACCUUCUGGGACGAUCCUGACGCUGAGGUUCGAAAGCUCGGGGAGCAAACAGG